rnacentral:rRNA from 1 species
AACGAACGCUGGCGGCAUGCCUAACACAUGCAAGUCGAACGAACCCUUCGGGCUUAGCGGCGGACGGGUGAGUAACGCGUGGGAACGUGCCCUUUGGUACGGAAUAGCCCCGGGAAACUGGGAGUAAUACCGUAUGUGGUCGAGAGACGAAAGAUUUAUCGCCAAAGGAUCGGCCCGCGUUGGAUUAGGUAGUUGGUGGGGUAAUGGCCUACCAAGCCGACGAUCCAUAGCUGGUUUGAGAGGAUGAUCAGCCACACUGGGACUGAGACACGGCCCAGACUCCUACGGGAGGCAGCAGUGGGGAAUCUUAGACAAUGGGGGAAACCCUGAUCUAGCCAUGCCGCGUGAUCGAUGAAGGCCUUAGGGUUGUAAAGAUCUUUCAGUGGGGAAGAUAAUGACUGUACCCACAGAAGAAGCCCCGGCUAACUCCGUGCCAGCCGCCGCAGUAAUAC